CUUUAAUUAUUCUUUUAUUUCAUACAUUUAUUCAAAUGUAAUUAAAAUUUGGCAUAGAACAGGACAGUGAAAUGGACAGUAGCUAGUUUUCUAGAAUAAAGUUGUAACAAGGAAAGAAAUAGAGAGUAUGGCAGUAAAAGGAACAGCAGGAGAAGCAAAUGUAAAACCAUCUGCCAUCUAAGUUCGGCAGGUAAUACCUCUAGUAAAGUAUGUUCCAUUGCUUUGGCAUGGAUUGUCCUUUGUAACAGUGCAAAACUUUUGACAGUUACUGCAUUUUGUCAGUGUGCAUAAUUUAACUGUGAUCGUUUUUGCAGAGAUCAAGAUUCAGCUGAAGCCAACACAUGAAAAUUAGGUUCUCGAAGUGACUUAGUGGAGAAUUGGAGGACUGGAGCAAACUGCAAAAACUGAAGAAUGAGGAAGAGUGGGGGAUGUGAAGAGCUUCACUGCUUGGUGGCUACAGAUGUUGGGAAAACACAUGGAACCCACACAAUUGACCUUAUUCUGCUUCAGAUCAGUGGUUACAAUCACAUAUAAUUGCUUUAAGUAGAAGAGUUCCUCAGAGGAUGCCAAUCAAUUGCUGCGAGGAGGGUGAAACACAGGGUUUUGAGAUUUCU
rnacentral:lncRNA from 1 species